UACAGAGGUCCCUAGCGUUGUUCGGAUUCACUGGGCGUAAAGGGUGCGUAGGUGGCCAUGAAAGUUUGAUGUGAAAUCUCCGGGCUUAACCCGGAAAAUGCAUUGAAUACUCUGUGGCUGGAGGUUUGGAGGGGGGACUGGAAUUCUCGGUGUAGCAGUGAAAUGCGUAGAUAUCAGGAGGAACACCGGUGGCGAAGGCGGGUCUCUGGGCCGAUACUGACGCUGAGGAGCGAAAGCGUGGGGAGCGAACAGG
rnacentral:rRNA from 1 species